rnacentral:lncRNA from 1 species
GGCAGAUCAAGGAACAUUUCUGAAGGCAAGUCUCAAUUAGGCACACCCACUAUCUUCCAGACUCUAUAAUUUAAACCUUUCUUAAAGAUUAAAAUUUAGAGGCCCCUUAUAUUUUCACUGACUCCUAUUGAUACUUUAUUCAUAGCACCAAGUAACAAACCUUUACAACACAUUCUAAAAUUCUCUUUAACUUAAUUCUAUACUCACAUUUGGUUACAGAUUGUUUCUGUUGACUCAGAGUCUUUAAGCCACAGGGGCCCACAGUUGCUUUUCCUGCAGAAUAUUAUGUUCCCCAGAGAAGUAAAGGAACUGGUGCUUUGAGACAGUUACAUUGGAGCUCCCUAUGAACCGCUUGUGCAGUCUCCUCCCAAACUGGCUAUAGGACUUUUCAGCCAAUGGGCUAUUAGCAGAUGUAUUGACGUGCUGUAUCCUUGGUGUGGGUGAAGAAGAACUUCCUGUGGAGAACAACCCCACCUGGAUCCCAUGGGUAAUGUUUGUGGAACUGCUUCUGCCUGUUGGACAGCUCCCAGCCUGGAGACAGACUCCUGAGGCCAUUCCUGUUUCAGUUUCCCAAUUUUCUCCCAUGGCUAUAUAUCUCUUCAAUAACCAGAAAAAAGAAUAUAUUUUCACAAGUGAUGGACUCCCCAUUGCUGAGACACAAAUCCUGCAACCUACAACUUCCAGAUAAAGACUGCUGUUCCAGAAGAAUGUGCUUUACAAGACUUCAGAUUGUGACAGUUUCUAAUCCUGGAACUUCUGCUGCCCCACUGACUGGUUCAAAGGACUUACUUCUUACUGAUGACCCACUCACAAUAUCCCCUUAGCAAGCAGUCAUGUAUAAACAGAAUCCAGCACUUGUCUAAAUUUGUUCAAAAGAAGUUACGUAAUAACAAAGCCAACAGAAAAUUAUUCAAAAUUCAUCGACCUCUGCAUGAAUGAAGAGACAGAGGACAAGCAAGAACACUUUGAGAACCUACUGGGUACUGUAAACCAACAAAUUAUAAGCAAGGUUAAAAUAAAAGCAAAGACCAUUUUCAUACAGGUACCAAAUAGAUUUGUGUGGUGGAUAAACUAAUGGUCAACUUGGAACACUCAGCUGAACGGAAUCAGCAUGGUUCUGGGCUUGGAAGACCCACCUGAGGAUUGUUGCUAAUGGCAUAAAAAGAGAACUAGAGGGAAAGAUCAUUUGCUAUUGAUUAUCUUGGAGAAGCUUGCUGAGGCUGGUUUUCCUGAUAUAAACUUGGCUGUUCUCAUCAGAGGAGGAGCUUGAGUCCUGUCACCUUGGAUGGCUACUGUUCUUGUCAGGGGAGCUCUGAUCUUCACCUUGAGCGUCACUUCCUGGGUCCAGUGCAGAUCCCUCAGCCUAGUGUCACAGAUCCUUCACCCUGUUGACGCAGACUUUCUAGCUUCCACCACUGGCCUUUGGACCUUCUCAGUGCAGAUCCUUGAUAUGGACUUGCAUGAGACAUUGCCUUGGGCUCUGGGCCUUCAGUGGGACUCAUGGAGGACAUUGCCAUAGAACCCAGACUGUUGACUGGAUUCUUCAUGUCUCUGUUGUGUGGACAGAUCUCUUGCCCUCCUUUGCAUUUGACUUUUUAGGUGAAUAUUUUAAAAUAAUCCUGUAGAGCACAGGUCCUGGCAACAGGGCUGUGAAUGGCUGGCGCUUGCUUUCAAAGGUCACCCUCGAAGCAGAGCCAAUGGCCAUGUUCGGAGGCUAGGGAACCACCAGGAGGUGGAGGGGUCACCCAGAGAUGAACUUCAGCAAGCAGAUUGAGCAAUACUCCCUGAGUGCCAGGCAGACACUGACCUCUUCCCACGAAUACUAUAACCAAGAAUAUGUCCUGUCUUCCUGAGGUAUGCAGUGCCAUGAGGAAACAAAGCAUGAACAGAAACUAUUUUAUUGGGCAAGUGAAAUGAAUGGAUACUUCACAGAGGAAGAAAUACAAAUGGCCAACAAAUAUAUGAAAAAAUAUUCAACAUCUCUGGUCAUUAGAGAAAUGCAGAUUAAACCAAUCCUAAGAUUCCAUAUUACUCCAGAAAGAAUGGCAAUCAUCAAGAAAUCAAAAAAUAACAAAUACUAUUGAGGCUGUGGUGAAAAAGGAACCCUCCUACCCUGAAAAAGGAAACCUCCCACACUGUUGUUGGGAAUGUAAACUUAUAUAAGCAUGAUGAAAUCGAUAUGGAGAUUUCUCAAAGAACUAAAAUUAGAAAUUCCGUAUGACCCAGCUUCCUCCUUCUAGUUAUCUUCCCCAAAAAGCUUAAGACAUCAUACUACAGCAAUACUCUAUGUGAACACCAAUGUUUAUAACAGCACAAUUCAUAAUGAAUAAAUCCUGGAAGCAGCCUGUACACCCAUCAAUAGACAAUUAGAUAAAGAAAAUGUGGCAUCUAUACAUAAUGGAAUACUACUUAGCUAUAAAGAAGAACAAAUUUGAGACAUCUGUAGGAAAAUGGAUGCACUUGGAAAAUAUAAUGUUGAGUGAAAUAAACCAUGC